rnacentral:rRNA from 2 species
GCCCUGGCAGUCAGAGGCGAUGAAGGGCGUGCUAAUCUGCGAUAAGCGCCGGUAAGGUGAUAUGAACCGUUAUAACCGGCGAUACCCGAAUGGGGAAACCCAGUGUGAUUCGUCACACUAUCAUUAACUGAAUCCAUAGGUUAAUGAGGCGAACCGGGGGAACUGAAACAUCUAAGUACCCCGAGGAAAAGAAAUCAACCGAGAUUCCCCCAGUAGCGGCGAGCGAACGGGGAGGAGCCCAGAGCCUGAAUCAGCAUGUGUGUUAGUGGAAGCGUCUGGAAAGGCGCGCGAUACAGGGUGACAGCCCCGUACACAAAAGCGCAUGUGCUGUGAGCUCGAUGAGUAGGGCGGGACACGUGGUAUCCUGUCUGAAUAUGGGGGGACCAUCCUCCAAGGCUAAAUACUCCUGACUGACCGAUAGUGAACCAGUACCGUGAGGGAAAGGCGAAAAGAACCCCGGCGAGGGGAGUGAAAAAGAACCUGAAACCGU